rnacentral:rRNA from 1 species
UGAAUACGAGAUGCUACGGCGUCGAAGCAGUCUAUGUCAUACUUCCAAGAAAAGCUCGCACUGUCAUAAACAAAUAAUGCCUGUACCAUAACCGACACAGGUGGGUAGGUAGAGUAUACUAAGGGGCGCGAGAUAACUCUCUCUAAGGAACUCGGCAAAAUGACUCCGUAACUUCGGGAGAAGGAGUGCCUUAUUUAUAAGGUUGCAAUAACAAGAUCCAAGCAACUGUUUACCAAAAACACAGGUCUCCGCUAAGUCGUAAGACGAUGUAUGGGGGCUGACGCCUGCCCAGUGCCAGAAGGUUAAAGAAGUUGGUUAGCAUUCGCGAAGCUGAUAACUGAAGCCCUGGUGAACGGCGGCCGUAACAAUAACGGUCCUAAGGUAGCGAAAUUCCUUGUCGGGUAAGUUCCGACCCGCACGAAAGGCGUAAUGAUUUGGAUACUGUCUCGGAGAGGGGCUCGGUGAAAUAGACUUGUCUGUGAUGAUGCGGACUACCUGCACCAGGACAGAAAGACCCUAUGAAGCUUUACUGUAACUUGAGAUUGAAAUUGGACUUUACUUGCGCAGUAUAGGUGGGAGGCGUUGAUAAUAUUCUUGCGGGAUUAUUUGAGCCAUCAGUGAGAUACCACUCUUGUAAUGUUAGAUUUCUAACUUUGUAUCAUUAUCUGGUCAAAGGACAGUUUCAGGCGGGCAGUUUGACUGGGGCGGUCGCCUCCUAAACGGUAACGGAGGCGCACAAAGGUUUCCUCUGAACGGGUAGAAAUCGUAUCUAGAGUGUAAAGGCAUAAGGAAGCUUGACUGUGAGACCUACAAGUCGAGCAGGGACGAAAGUCGGUCUUAGUGAUCUGACGGUGCUGAGUGGAAAGGCCGUCACUCAACGGAUAAAAGUUACUCUAGGAUAACAGGCUGAUCUCCCCCAAGAGUUCACAUCGACGGGGAGGUUUGGCACCUCGAUGUCGGCUCAUCGCAUCCUGGGGCGGUAGUACGUCCCAAGGGUUGGGCUGUUCGCCCAUGAAAGCGGUACGCGAGCUGGGUUCAGAACGUCGUGAGACAGUUCGGUCCAUAUCCGGUGUAGGCGUUAGAAUAUUGAGAGGAGCCUUCUUUAGUACGAGAGGACCGAGAAGGACAUACCUCUGGUGUACCAGUUAUCGUGCCAACGGUAAACGCUGGGUAGCUAUGUAUGGAGUGGAUAACCGCUGAAAGCAUCUAAGUGGGAAGCCCACCUCAAGAUAAGUAUUCUCA